AUAAAAGAUAUUACCUCACUCACCUUGACUCUCUAAUAUCCUGGGACUGUCAUGGUUACAACAACACUGCAUACAAGAUAUGAAAUAGUUAAUCCAAGAUACGGAUGUGUCCACAUGAACCUUAUACCAGUAUAACUCAUUCCAGACUGGAGUUAAUUUUGUUUUCAAAGCAGAUUAAUUAAAGCGGGAUAAAAGAGCAGAAAAGGAACUUUUGUGUGUGGACAUAAGACAGUUUGUGCUGAAAAAACUUAAAGUUAUAGCCGAAAAACUUUCCCAUGUAGACAAGCUACUCUAAAACAGCACACUGCAAUUAAGUAAAAUUAUAGGUUAGCAGGAUCUUAAGAAAUAGGCCAUUAACAAUGUGGAGGGACGUAAUUUCAGAACUGUGAAAGGGGUGAAAGUUUGCAAGAAGGCUGUGUUGAGAAGGUUACUGAGAGAACAGCUAAUAUGAACCCUACAGUGUAAAAACUUGGCCUGGAAUGUUUCCUGGGAAAUUUUGCCUUCAUUCAGGAAACUACAGUGCACUUGAACGAAGCACAGGAAACUCCAGGGAGGCUCACCAGCACAAACCAUUUUAACUAAGUGCUAUGUUUUCCAGGAAGCUCAGAACCAGAUUUUCAAGUUCUCAGAACCCACUCCUGGGGGCAACAAUUUUCAAAGUCACUCAUCUCCUAUUUAUGCCCCUAAAUAAAGACCAGAUUUUCAAAAAGCUCCACCUUCUUCAUGCACUGACUGUGUUGAGAUUUUUUGAAAAUGUGGCCUCUAUUUGGGUGCCUAAGUAGGAGCAGAGCCGUUUGAAUCUAGCCCGGCUGUGGGUGUUGAGCCCUCCUGAAAAUUCUGGCAUAAACUGCCUUCACUGACUGUACUUAAAGCACUAUCUCCAACUUGCAUUUUCAAUGACAACUAUUUUAGAACCUUUUAUAAAAUUGUGCGAUUCAACUCCAGUGGGCUUAUCCAGGCCUGAAAAUGCUACUUACACGACUUCUUGAACAUUAUGUUCAAAACUUUCACAAUAUCAACUACUUCCAGCACAUUAUGAACUCUAGCAAUGAUAGAUAGCUAGAACAUUCAUAUUUGACAGAACCUCUUUAGUCAUGCUAAACCGACUUUGAUUCCUGGGAGGCUAUCAGUAUUAUAGUACUAAUUUAUUAGACAUGGCUAGAUUUAAAAUUUUAUUUUUGUGCAGUUAUUUAAAAUUUAAAAUGAUUAAGUCUAAACCAAUUAAAUUUCAGUUGAUCAUUCUCCAAAUGCACAAAAAGUUUUAUAAAAUAUGUAUAAAGACUCUUUGGAACUUUUAUAACAAUUUAAUCUUCAUAUAGUGAUCAGUCUUUCAAAUUGUCAUGCCACACAGUAAAUAUUAAGAAGUAAAAAAGUUGAGAUAUGAUCAGAAGGAUACAAUAUUGAAAAUUGAUCUGAACUAACUAACUUGAAACUAAAGUAAUUGGCCUGUUUCUCGCAUAUUAUUUCCUGCUAAUGCAUUUUAAUAGUCAUAUCAAUCCAUUUGAUCUCUCCCUUUGGGAAUUUUAGUUAUUUUCAUAAUUCAGACUCAAAAGCUAUGAGCGCUAAUUUUCAGCUGUGCAGACAUGAAUAAAUAUGUAUGCUGACAAUAGGAAUUGAUUAAAUUAAGACAAAAUAAUUUGAGUGUUAGGAUUUGCCUAAAUUAUUUUGUCAUUUUAUGCCCAGACAAAUACUGUACUUUACUUUUCAUUUUUACAGACCUGGCCUCUUUUACUACAAAUCAAGUGUCAUAUCACUUUAAUAUCUGGUAUGUCCUCUUUCGGUGCCUGUGUCUUUUACUUGCAGUGUGAUGACCUCACUGUUCUAAUAAACCUCUUCCAUGUUAUAACUUCUCCUAAUAAGAAUAGUUAUAUUAAACUAGUGCCUAAAGGCCUCAAAAAAUUUUGGGGUCCUUUUGUGCUCGGCAUACUACCUUCACAGAGGGAGAGACAGUCCCUGACCUGAAGAGACACAAGAGUGGCAAAGCAUGGAAAUAAAAACAGGCAGAGAGCUGAAGUGACUUGUCUGUGGUCACACAGCAGAAGAAUAGCAGAGCUGAUAACAGAAUCCAGUACUCCUGACUGUCACUCCAGUGCUCUGUCUACCGAACACACUGCCUCUCCAUAUCAUGCUUUUCUGUGGUAAAGCCCUUUAGUAUGGACAGAGUGCUCUUUACCAUGAAACUCAGAGUUUCCAAGGAAUAUUUACUGUUCUUCCUUAAGAAGAGCAGGGGCCUGUGGAGGAGGCUGGGGCACAAGGAAAAGGAAGCUUCAGCCUCAAGGAGGAGAUGCCCCUCCAUGGUGCACUUUGGUCCUUCCUCCCUCCCUCCUGGCAUUAGGGAUAACUCUGGGAGUUAUGCUGUCAUUCUCUUUUUCCUCCUGCCCUGUCAGAGAGGAGAGAGUUGAGUGGCAGUUAAUCCCUUGCUAAAUGUUUUUGCCAUUGGUUUUUCAGCUGUUCUGGACAGAACAUGCUUCACACAGUGGAUGUACCCUGGCUCUGUUCCCCAGCCAUAAUGAUAUGGAUCAGAAGAUUCCAGUGGGGGAUGUUGAAAUGCACAUAGUGAUCCUGAGAGACCCAGAGUACCCCUUACUCCCAUGGCUCAUGCAGUCUUACACAGGAAACCUGGACAGCAGCAAGAAGUGCUUCAACAAUAGGUUAAGAACAUGCAGAAUGACCAUACAAUGUACCUUUGGCAGAUUAAAAGCACGCUGGCACUGCCUUUAUGGCAGGUUAGGCCUAAAUGAGGAAAAUAUUCUCAUGGUCAUAGCCACCUACUGCAUGUUUCAUAAUAUUUGUGAGGUUAAGGGUGAAAAGUUUACCCCAGCGUGGAAGUGGAUCUGGUUGAUUUUGAGCAGCUGAUACCAGGGCUAUUAGAGGGGCACAAUGGGGGUCUGUGACAGGUUGUCCCCCAUUAAGAUGCCAACUGAUGUGCUGAGAUACCACUGAGUCAGCCUGUUCUGCCAGCCUGAGCAUCCUUUUUAUCUGUCUUGCUGAGCCAGGCUAUUAAUCCUUCUCCAGCACACACACACAGGCAGGGCCACACCCAACUGUAGAACGACACAGACUGAUAUCAGCUCUGGGAAGACUCAGCUUAAGGGACUUACCUCAGCACACAGGGCGUCCACCUCCUUUGGAGUGCAGACCCAAAGGUAUAUUGUCUUACACUGUAGAGAAAUCUAUACAAUGUAAGCUCAUAAAUUUGCCUCCUCACUCAAUGUGGAGGAAGAUAUGCACAACUUC